CCUACGGGAGGCAGCAGUGGGGAAUAUUGCGCAAUGGGCGAAAGCCUGACGCAGCGACGCCGCGUGAGGGAUGAAGGUCUUCGGAUCGGAAACCUCUGUCAGCAGGGAAGAACGGUCACGGUGGUAAUCAGCAGUGAAUGGACGGUACCUGCAAAGGAAGCACCGGCUAACUCCGUGCCAGCAGCCGCGGUAAGACGGAGGGGGCGAGCGUUAAUCGGACUUACGGGGCCUAAAGCGCGCGUAGGCGGUAUGUCAAGUCAAGGGUGAAAUCCCCGCGCUCAACGUGGGAACUGCCUUUGAAACUGGCAGACUGGAGUGUGUGAGAGGAUAGUGGAAUUCCAGGUGUAGCCGU
rnacentral:rRNA from 1 species